UUGCAUUUUACCAUUAGCGUUGAUCAUCCCUAUUUGAAAGAAUCAUAUCUGUACUCGAAGAAACUAUAACGGGCAUUUACGCAAAGCAACGUGUUUUUUGCCUUUUCCGAAUUAAAAUAAACAAAAAAUAGUUUUUAUUUUACUACCUAUAACUUCAAAAUAUUUGAGAAAAUAGAGCCAGAUGAUUAUCAAGCAAUAAUAAACUUCAGUGACUCAAACACUUGUAAACAACUGACAGGAUUCGAAAAUCUAUAAAGAAUGUUGCUAACAGCGAGCAUGCAGGACGCAUUUAGUAAAAUAUAACAAACAGAAAAUCAUUAAGGUCGAAGGCGCACAAGAUGAGCACGAUAUAAACAGCCAUUAAAAGUUAUUUUUAAUUUAAUACCCUAAAGUGCCGUUAAAUUACAUACAUGUUGUAUUAAAAUACAACAAGAUAUAUGAAAACAUUAUAGGUCUUCUUGUUUCUCUUAUAAUAAAUUUUAAUGCAUUCUUAUUCUCCUC